UAGUGGGGGAUAACGUCUCGAAAGGGACGCUAAUACCGCGUACGUCCUACGGGAGAAAGCAGGGGAUCUUCGGACCUUGCGCUAUCAGAUGAGCCCAGGCCGGAUUAGCUUGUUGGUGAGGUAAUGGCUCACCAAGGCGACGAUCCGUAGCUGGUCUGAGAGGAUGAUCAGCCACACUGGGACUGAGACACGGCCCAGACUCCUACGGGAGGCAGCAGUGGGGAAUAUUGGACAAUGGGCGAAAGCCUGAUCCAGCCAUGCCGCGUGUGUGAAGAAGGUCUUCGGAUUGUAAAGCACUUUAAGUUGGGAGGAAGGGGUUGAAGCUAAUACCUUCAAUCUUUGACGUUACCAACAGAAUAAGCACCGGCUAACUCUGUGCCAGCAGCCGCGGUAAUACAGAGGGUGCAAGCGUUAAUCGGAAUUACUGGGCGUAAAGCGCGCGUAGGUGGUUCAGUAAGAUGGAAGUGAAAUCCCCGGGCUUAACCUGGGAACUGCUUUCAUAACUGCUGAGCUAGAGUACGGUAGAGGGU
rnacentral:rRNA from 1 species